CCCAUGUUGGUAACAGGCCCUUAUGCUUCAAGUUCUAUCUGUGAUUUGUCUUGUUAACAUGACUUUCUUGUACUGCAGUUGCUGGAUUCAUCUUUGCUCACGCUCUACCUCCAAACUCAGGAUACCAAGCAAUCAUUUUGAAAAUCACUCUGUGCCUCACCUGCCUGCCCUCCUGCCAUCACACUCCAUCUGAAGACCCUGGAUCUCAGGUCAGCCUUGCCACGCCACUCAGCUCCCCUGGAUUCUCGUCACUCCCCUCUCAACAUUCUGUGUCCCCUACUGCAAUGUGACUGUUCCCUGCUCAGUUCCAAUCUGCAUCUCAGGCCCCGUUCCCUCGCCCUAGCCACGUUUCCCAGGCCACGCCACGUCAAACUCUACAUCUUAUUGUUUCUUUUUGUCCUUGCUACGUUUCUACUGCUUAAGGGAAACAAAAUAUUCUUAAACCAUCUGCUGUCUCUGCUCUGGGCUUCUGCUCCUGAGUUCAGUUCAGUACAGACCACUCGGUCCCGUGACAAUGGUGAGGAUGGCAACUGAUGCACCGUUCAACACUGGUUCCAAAAUGUCAGUGUCCUGAAGAAAAGUAAAAUAAAAUAUUGAAUUAUUGAAAAAAGACACACUAUAAACAAAACACAUUUCUAAAGAUUUUAACUUUAACCUGUAUACCAGGGAUGUCAAAGUGAAAUACAUCGGAGGGCCAAAAAAAGAAAUUUGCUACAAGCUGAGGGCCGAACUGGUUCAAUGUUUAUUAAAACAUAUUAAAAUGAUUGCACAUAACCUAUUGAACCAAGACCUAACACAGUGUACUGUAUAUUAUUUAACGAUUAAAUGAAUAAUCCAA